GUGGCGUUAGCUCAGCUGGAUAGAGCAGCCCCCUUCUAAGGGGCAGGUCAUAGGUUCGAUUCCUAUACGCCACA
rnacentral:tRNA from 1 species